GACGAACGCUGGCGGCGUGCUUAACACAUGCAAGUCGAACGGAAAGGCCCUGCUUUUGUGGGGUGCUCGAGUGGCGAACGGGUGAGUAACACGUGAGUAACCUGCCCUUGACUUUGGGAUAACUUCAGGAAACUGGGGCUAAUACCGGAUAGGAGCUCCUGCUGCAUGGUGGGGGUUGGAAAGUUUCGGCGGUUGGGGAUGGACUCGCGGCUUAUCAGCUUGUUGGUGGGGUAGUGGCUUACCAAGGCUUUGACGGGUAGCCGGCCUGAGAGGGUGACCGGCCACUUUGGGCCUGGAAUACGGCCCGGACUCCUACGGGGGGCAGCGGUGGGAAAUUUUGCCCAUUGGGCGGAGCCCUAUGCCGGCACCGCCGCGUGCGGAAGAACGCCCUUCGGGUUGUAACCGCUUUCGCCUGUGACGAAGCGUGAGUGACGGUAAUGGGUAAAGAAGCACCGGCUAACUACGUG
rnacentral:rRNA from 1 species